rnacentral:rRNA from 1 species
AUUGAACGCUGGCGGAAUGCUUUACACAUGCAAGCCGAACGGCAGCACGGAGAGCUUGCUCUCUGGUGGCGAGUGGCGAACGGGUGAGUAAUAUAUCGGAACGUGUCAAUAAUGGGGGAUAACGAGUCGAAAGAUUCGCUAAUACCGCAUACGCCCUACGGGGGAAAGCAGGGGAUCGUAAGACCUUGCGUUAAUGGAGCGGCCGAUAUCUGAUUAGCUUGUUGGUGAGGUAAAGGCUCACCAAGGCGACGAUCAGUAGCUGGUUUGAGAGAACGACCAGCCACACUGGAACCGAGACACGGUCCAGACUCCUACGGGGGGCAGCAGUGGGGAAUUUUGGACAAUGGGGGCAACCCUGAUCCAGCCACUCCGCGUGAGUGAAGAAGGCCUUCGGGUUGUAAAGCUCUUUCGCGAGGGAAGAAAACUUAUGAUCGAAUAAAUCAUGAGGUUGACGGUACCUUGAUAAGAAGCACCGGCUAACUACGUGCC